CCUACGGGAGGCAGCAGUAAGGAAUAUUGGUCAAUGGACGCAAGUCUGAACCAGCCAUGCCGCGUGCAGGAUGACGGCCCUCUGGGUUGUAAACUGCUUUUAUACGGGAAGAAACCUCUGGUUGCGAUCAGAGCUGACGGUACCGUAAGAAUAAGGACCGGCUAACUUCGUGCCAGCAGCCGCGGUGAUACGAAGGGUCCAAGCGUUAUCCGGAUUUAUUGGGUUUAAAGGGUGCGUAGGCGGCUUAUUAAGUCAGUGGUGAAAGACUUCAGCUUAACUGAAGAACUGCCAUUGAUACUGAUGAGCUUGAAUAUACUUGAGGUGGGCGGAAUGUGUCAUGUAGCGGUGAAAUGCUUAGAUAUGACACAGAACACCGAUUGCGAAGGCAGCUCGCUAAAGUAUGAUUGACGCUGAUGCACGAAAGCGUGGGGAGCAAACAGGAUUAGAUACCCUGGUAGUCCACGCCCUAAACGUUGAUAACUCGAUGUGUGCGAUAUACAGUACGCGUCCAAGCGAAAGCAUUAAGUUAUCCACCUGGGAAGUACGGUCGCAAGAUUGAAACUCAAAAGGGAAUUGACGGCNGAGAGNGCGAGGACGACACGAGGGAGAG
rnacentral:rRNA from 1 species